rnacentral:rRNA from 1 species
GAUAAACGCUGGCGGUGUGCCUAAUACAUGCAAGUCGUACGCAUUCCCGUUUUUGAUUGAAGGUGCUUGCACCAGAUUGAUAAAACAUCGGAAUGAGUGGCGGACGGGUGAGUAACACGUGGGUAACCCGCCCAGAAGUGGGGGAUAACAUUUGGAAACAGAUGCUAAUACCGCAUAAUAGAUAGAACCACAUGGUUCUAUUUUGAAAGAUGGCCUUUGUGCUAUCGCUUUUGGAUGGACCCGCGGUGUAUUAGCUAGUUGGUAAGGUAACGGCUUACCAAGGCAAUGAUACAUAGCCGAACUGAGAGGUUGAUCGGCCACAAUGGGACUGAGACACGGCCCAUACUCCUACGGGAGGCAGCAGUAGGGAAUCUUCCACAAUGGGCGCAAGCCUGAUGGAGCAACACCGCGUGAGUGAAGAAGGGUUUCGGCUCGUAAAACUCUGUUGUUAAAGAAGAACGUAUCUAAGAGUAACUGCUUAGGUAGUGACGGUAUUUAACCAGAAAGCCACGGCUAACUACGUGCCAGCCGCCGCAGUAA